GAUGAAGAACGCAGCGAAAUGCGAUAAGUAAUGUGAAUUGCAGAAUUCAGUGAAUCAUCGAAUCUUUGAACGCACAUUGCGCCCGCCAGAAUACUGGCGGGCAUGCCUGUUCGAGCGUCAUUUCAACCAUCAAGCCCCCGGCUUGUGUUGGGGACCUGCGGCUGCCGCAGGCCCUGAAAAGCAGUGGCGGGCUCGCUGUCACACCGAGCGUAGUAGCAUACAUCUCGCUCUGGGCGUGCUGCGGGUUCCGGCCGUUAAACCACCUUCAUAACCCAAGGUUGACCUCGGAUCAGGUAGGAAGACCCGCUGAACUUAAGCAUAUCAAUAGCGGAGGA
rnacentral:misc_RNA from 1 species